CGCCGCUGCUUGUGCUGGCAGGCCGGGCGCACCUUGUCCUCCCCGGGCCUCUUCAUUCGCAGGAACCACGCGCACCAGUUCAGAAGGAUGACUCUGGUCUGGGGAGACAACAGAACGUUAAGAGCAGCCCUGAGGCGGACACGGGCUGAUCCCAACAGCAGUAAGAUCCUACAAUACAAGCCCUGCUUCAUUGGUCCUGGGGGUAGCAGCCUCCACUGCCUCCCGGAUGAUUUUAGCAGGCAAGCAGUGCUUGCGUAUGACAAGCAGUCGAGUUCAACGUGAGGCAAGACUAAAACUGAUGCACCCUGGGAACAAGCUAAAUUGUUCUCCGGGGCAGGCACACUGCAAUCUCAGGGAAGACAGCUUCGUGGAAGGGGAAGGCUAUCUGAGCUGUGUAAAGAGGGAAAGUCAAUUUCCCUCUCUGAUCCUUCCUCAUCUGUAACCCGGGGACCUUCAGAUCUAACUCUGGCUCCCACACUACCUGUUAGGUGCCCUGGAAGGCCACUGCAAAUUCGCAAAGAGUGUCUGGGGGAGGUUGUACAUUUUCAAAUGCAAUCCCAGGAUAUCCAUGAGACACCAGGUAAACUUGAAGCUUGAAGCAGUUCAGGCUUCCAACAUCAGAUUACCACAUCUCUUGUGAUGACGUGACCACUUUGCAAAGCUGUUUUUCAAAGUACCCUGAUAAAAAGCAAACACCAAGGAACUUCAUGUGAAACAGAAACUAGGUUAGUGGUCUCCAAUCUGAUCCCAAGAUUUGAGAGGCGGUGCCGUGCCCCAUAGGUGCUACAUUGUUAAGGCACAAAUACUUAUUAAAGUGUUUUGAUCUAUUUAAAAAGAGAGCCUUGGGUAUUAUUUCUUUUGGCCAGGGGCUCUGUGAAAAAUUUCCUGAGAUACUAACGUGCUGUGAACCAAGGCAGUUUCGGAACCUCUAACCUAACUCAGUAGGCUUCAAUGAAGACCGAAUAAGAUGAUGUCUGGGAGAGUACUUUGAAAAGUUGAAGGCAGAAGUUGGCAAACUUUCUGUAAAGGGCCAGGCAACUACUCACUUCUGCUGAUGUAGCACACAUUGAAGGCGUCAAAUGGAUGGGCAUGUUUUCUAAAAUAACUUAUUUACAAAAACACUUGGUGGACUGGAUUUGGCCACCUAGGCCAUAAUUUGCUAACUUCUGGUCUAAAGUGUGUCCUAGAGUGCAUGAAAGAAGCUGGAGAAAAAUCACCAUGGAGUUUAUCCUGGUUUUGCCUCUCAUGGAAAGAAGAGAGACAACUGAAGCCUCAAUCCAGAAACAGGUAAAUGUAUUACCUGCUUCAAACUGAUGGAUGGACAGACAGAAAGAGCAGCAAACCAACAAGCCUCCAGCUCUCAGGCCUCUCACCUCUGGCCUUGCAUUUUCUUAAGUGUGGGUCAGCGUUAUAAGGAAAUCAGACAAAAAUACAGGAGAUGGAGUUUUGCUCUGUCACCCAGGCUGGAGGGCAAUGACACCACCAUAGCUCACUGGAGCCUGGAGCUCCUGGGCUCACAUGAUCCUCCCACCUCAGCCUCCCAGGUAGCUGGGACUACAGCCACACACCACUGUGGUGGGCUCACAGGUGGUGUCAGGACUGAAGUGAACUCACUGUAGGACGCCCAGCUGGUUUCCAAGAAUUGGUCGAUGUGGGAGAAACGCCCCGCUUUGGUGUCAGAAGUGUUGUCUCUCAGUAAAUUAUGGAGACUACUGCAAAAUUCAAUAAAUGCUCGCACCGGAAAGGACAGUGGAAAAUCCCAAACUUUUAAAGCUUGCCCAGGAAUAGGAAAGCUUUCUUCCAGGCGAUCCAAGGACCAGCCUCCGUAAGACCAGGACCCAAACUUCAGUUUGCAGUGCUGCACAUCAAAGGGAAACCAGCGUACAUCGAUGUAGCAGGAACUCUUGAAUAUGCCUGUGUGGGUGAUGGAAACAGAAGACUGAAACGGAAGCUGACUGAGAUGUGCUGAAAAUACACAGCAGUUCCUUCAGCCGGUUCCGCCCUCCGCACUGCAGCUAACACAGUCCAGAGCAAACGGAAUCUGUCUUUUUAUUUAUUCGCAAAAUCUGUAAAACAGAAUCUCAGCUAAGCUUCACUGUCUUUUAAAAUCCAAACGUAACACUGACAUGCUCUCUCAAAGACUGUUUUGUGGGCUUUUUGUGCAAAAAGUUAGCUCUAUAAUCUGCAUUUACCAUGAGCAUCUUCAGACUCUAAAUAAUAAAAGUAAAGAAUGCAAAAUAUCUCAGAGAAGUUGAUAACCCUGAUGAUGAAGUUAGAAAUAGAAUCUAAAAGGUGUGUGUGUGUGUGUGUGUGUCUGUUUGGUGCGGGGUGAGGUAGGCAUUUUCUUUAGGUUAAAAAUGGGAAGAACACAUGAUUAUCGAGAAAUACAAUCUAGAAUUCUGGUUAAAGCUAGAAUUUUAACUAAUUUAAAUUCUAGAUGAAGAACAGAACAAGCUGGGCACAGUGUCUCAUGCCCGUAAUCCCAGUGACUCUAAGACAUUGACGUGGGAGGGUCACUUGAGACUAGGAGUUUGAGACCGGACUGGGCAACAUAGUGAGACAUCUCUAAUAAAAAAAAUUAGCUGGGUGAGGUGAUGCAUGCCUGUAGUCCCAGCUACUCAGAAGGCUAAGGCAGGAGCAUUGCUUGAGCCCAGGAGUUUGAGGCUAAAGUGAAGUGAGCUAUGAUCGAGCCCCUGCACUCCAGCCUGGGGAACACACCUAGAAUCUGUCUGUAAGAAAAAAAGUUAAAACAAACAAACAAACAAACAAACAAAAACAAGAACAGAUAGAUAGGUUUAAGCUGAAGAGAUGGUGCUUGAAGGAAGAGUUUCCGCUGAAAAGAGCUAUUCCAGGCUAGGACAGGUUGGAAGUGGAUUUCCCAGAGGGCCAAGGGGAGGAAACCAGAUAGAGGCCACUCCAGUUAUUUACACUCAUGUGCUCUUCCCUGCCCAGAGGAAGGCUGCAUGGCACAAGAAGACAGGCACAGACUCGGUGUCCAGGUGUUCCUGGGGCAGGGCUGGCACUCUGCAAACUUCUGUUACUGAGUUACAGAAAGAGUGCACGCAGGAAGGGCCUCCACAGCCUUGCACACAAGGACCCCACCCCACAACCGAGUUGGGAAAAGAUACACAUUUUGUCCCCUGAAGUUCCUUUAAGUAUGCUUUGCGUCCUUACAUGAAAUGUUUAUAGGAAUCUGGAAUCAUCACAGACAAUCCCCCUCCAUUAAUAGUUGGAUCCCCCCAAAACCCACCUUGUCUGCCAGUUAGUUGGAAAGCUUUGUAACUUCAUGAGCCCAUUUCUACGAAAUAAUGGCCCGAGACAGAGAAUUUCUAGAGACAGAAAGCAGAUCAGUGGUUGCUGGGAGUAGGAAUGGGAAUUAACUGCAAACAAGCAAAAGGGAUCUUUGUGGGGUGAUGGGAAUGUUCUAAAACUAGACUGUGGUAAUGGUUGCAUAAGUCUGUAAAUAUACUAAAAGUUGUUGAAUCAUGUACUUAAAAUGCAUGAUAUGUAAAUUCUCUCUCAAUAAAGCUGUUAAAAAAUAAACACAUGAAAUGG
rnacentral:lncRNA from 10 species